CCGUUGAUACUGGAGAGAGGGAGAGAGAGAGAGAGAGAGCAGCGGAAGUGCGAAGAGCGAAACCCUAGACGCCGUCACCAUGUCUCUGGUCGCGAACGAGGACUUUCAGCACAUUCUUCGUGUUCUGAACACGAACGUCGAUGGAAAGCAGAAGAUCUUGUUCGCGCUUACCUCCAUCAAGGGUAUCGGUCGCCGCUUCGCCAACAUCAUCUGUUAAAAGGCCGACGUGGACAUGAGCAAAAGGGCUGGUGAGCUGUCGGCUACUUGAUGUCAGUGGUUUUCAAUCCACGCCAGUUCAAGAUCCCAGAUUGGUUCUUGAACAGAAAGAAGGACUACAAGGAUGGCCGGUACUCUCAGAUUGUUUCAAACGCAUUGGACAUGAAGCUCAGGGAUGACCUUGAGAGACUGAAGGAGAUAAGGUUGGAGUUAAGCAUCAGUUUGUCUGCUGCAGGAACCACCGUGUUGGUGUCUCAAAGAAGCGAUGAACUUAACCAUCUAAUUAUGCUCCUUAAUUCUUCUAUUGUUUGGGAACUUGAUGGCUCUGCUUAGAUUUUUUAUUCUUUAUGUCAGACAUGACUAUCGGUUUAUUCAUUUGGCUGAGUUUGGUGACAGUUUUUUUUGUUAACUUGACGCCUCUGUUAAUAUUGGCAUUCUCCCUUUCACCUGAUCAAUCCUCCAGUGCCUUGUGGAGUUUGAGA